rnacentral:rRNA from 1 species
ACGAACGCUGGCGGCGUGCUUAACACAUGCAAGUCGCACGGAAAGGCCCUGCUUUUGUGGGGUGCUCGAGUGGCGAACGGGUGAGUAACACGUGAGUAACCUGCCCUUGACUUUGGGAUAACUUAAGGAAACUGGGGCUAAUACCGGAUAGGAGCUCCUGCUGCAUGGUGGGGGUUGGAAAGUUUCGGCGGUUGGGGAUGGACUCGCGGCUUAUCAGCUUGUUGGUGGGGUAGUGGCUUACCAAGGCUUUGACGGGUAGCCGGCCUGAGAGGGUGACCGGCCACAUUGGGACUGAGAUACGGCCCAGACUCCUACGGGAGGCAGCAGUGGGGAAUAUUGCACAAUGGGCGGAAGCCUGAUGCAGCAACGCCGCGUGCGGGAUGACGGCCUUCGGGUUGUAAACCGCUUUCGCCUGUGACGAAGCGUGAGUGACGGUAAUGGGUAAAGAAGCACCGGCUAACUACGUG